AAGUGUUACGGUUAGGGUUGGGGUUAGGGUUAUGGAACGGGUAUGGUUUAAGGAACAGAUUAGGGUACGACAAUGUUUUAGGGUUAGAAUACGUGUUAGGGUAUGGGUUAGUAUUAGGUUACGGGUUAGGGUAAGGGUUAGAGUUAGGUUUAGGGAAUGGG